rnacentral:rRNA from 1 species
CGAUGAAGCCAGCUUGCUGGUGGAUUAGUGGCGAACGGGUGAGUAACACGUGGGUGAUCUGCCCCAAACUUUGGGAUAAGCCUGGGAAACUGGGUCUAAUACCGAAUAUUACCUUCUCCUGCAUGGGGGUUGGUGGAAAGCUCCGGCGGUUUGGGAUGGGCCCGCGGCCUAUCAGCUUGUUGGUGGGGUAAUGGCCUACCAAGGCGACGACGGGUAGCCGGCCUGAGAGGGCGACCGGCCACACUGGGACUGAGACACGGCCCAGACUCCUACGGGAGGCAGCAGUGGGGAAUAUUGCACAAUGGGCGCAAGCCUGAUGCAGCGACGCCGCGUGAGGGAUGACGGCCUUCGGGUUGUAAACCUCUUUCACCAGGGACGAAGCGUGAGUGACGGUACCUGGAGAAGAAGCACCGGCCAACUACGUGCCAGCAGCCGCGGUAAUACGUAGGGUGCGAGCGUUGUCCGGAAUUACUGGGCGUAAAGAGUUCGUAGGCGGUUUGUCGCGUCGUUCGUGAAAACUUGGGGCUUAACUCCAAGCGUGCGGGCGAUACGGGCAGACUUGAGUACUACAGGGGAGACUGGAAUUCCUGGUGUAGCGGUGAAAUGCGCAGAUAUCAGGAGGAACACCGGUGGCGAAGGCGGGUCUCUGGGUAGUAACUGACGCUGAGGAACGAAAGCGUGGGUAGCGAACAGGAUUAGAUACCCUGGUAGUCCACGCUGUAAACGGUGGGUACUAGGUGUGGGUUCCU